GGCACACGCCAAUGCCAGGGUUCCGUGCGACGUUGCCAUGGCACUUGAAGAGGAAUAAUAGCGUUACAGAUAGCAUAGUGUCGCUAGAGUACAAAGCCACCUCAUCUGGCCCAGGGCCCUUCCAUACAGCCUUAUAUCUCAGAAUAUCAAGGUACUGUAUAAGUGCUGUUUUGUAAGCCGCCUUGAGUCCCCCUCAGGUUGGGGUAUAAAUAAGGUAAGUAAAUAAUUUGUGUGUGUGUAGUAGUAGUAGUAGUAGUAGUAGUAUUUGAUACUGUUAUAUGUGUGUUUUAACUAUGGCCCCAUCUACACUGCCAUAUAAAAGCCAUAUUAUCUUCUUUGAACUGGAUUAUAUUAGUCUACACUGCCAUAUAACCCAGUUUCAAAGCAGAUAAUUUGGAUUUUAUAUGGCAGUGUAGACCCUUUCAACACAGCUGAAUAAAAUCCCACAUUAUCUACUUUGAACUGUGUUAUAUAGCAGUGUGGAUUCAGAUAACCCAAUUUAAAGCAGAUAUUGUGGGAUUUUCUACCUUGAUAUUCUGGGUUAUAUGGCUGUGUGGAAGGCCCCUUAGGGUCCUUACAACCAGCCCUUUAUUCCAGAAUAUCAACGCAGAAAAUCCCACAAUAUCUGCUUUUACCUGGGUUAUCUGAGGGCCCUUCCACACAGCCCUAUAUCCCAGAAUAUCAAGGCAGGAAAUCCCACAAUAUCUGCUUUGAACUAGGUUAUCUUGAGUCCACACUCAGAUAAUGUAGGAUUUUCUGCCUUGAUAUUCUGGGAUAUAGGGCUGUGUGGAAGGACCCAGAGGCCCCUUCCACACUGCUGUAUAAAAUCCCACAUUAUCCUUUUUGAACUGGGUUAUGUGGCAGUCUGGACUCAGGCAUCCUUCACGCAGCUGAAUAAAAUCACACAUUAUAAAAUCACCCAUUAUAGGGCUGUGUGAAAGGGCCCUUAGUCUCCACUGCCAGAUAAUCUGGGAUAAACAGAUAAUCUGGGAUCGGAUCCAAGGAUAUAAGGGCCUGAAUAGAUCCCACAUUUUCUACUUUUAACUGGAAUAUAUGGCAGUGUGGAUACAGAUAACACAGUUCAAAGCAGAUAUUGUGGGAUUUUCUGCCUUGAUAUUCUGGGAUAUAGGACUGUGUGGAAAGGCCCUAAAUUAUAAGGUAACUCGUCUCAACUCUUUACGAGUGGCAAAGUAAUAAUAAUAUCACAAUAAUAAAGCCUUUUUUUCCCCUGUUGGUGGUACUGAAAUUAAUGAAGGAGUCUUAAAAACAAAUACAGUAAAAAUAGUAACAAUCAUGUGUGUGUUUUAACUAUGGGCCCUUCCACACAGCUAUAUGAUCCAGAAUAGAUAUUUAUUUAUUCACUGUACUUAUACCCCGCCCUUCUCACCCCUGAAGGACUCAGGGUGACUUACAAACUAUGGCAAUAAUUCAAUGCCAGAUUCAAACAAUAACAAUAAGAGUAACACACAAUAUUACAAAACUGUAAAAACAUAUCCAUCCAUAUCUAUAUAUAUAAAAGAGUGAUGGCAUCACGGCGACCCACAAAACAACAAAACUACAGGCCCCCCAACCUCGAAAUUUGACAACACAACCCAUCAUCCACGCCUCUAGGUUGAUACAACAAAAAGAAAAGAAAAAUAAAGUCCUAAUUAGAGGGAGAGGAAUAAUUUCUUUUAUCCAAUUGCUGCCAGUUAGAAGGCUAAGCUCCUCCAACUUGGUCUCCUAGCAACCCAAUAAAAAUAAUAAAAAACACUAAAAAAUAAUUAAAAACACUAAAAGAUUAAUACAAUAAAAUACUAUAAUAACAGAAAAUAACUAAAAAUAAUACAAGAAAAUAAUAAAAUAUAAUAAAUAAAAAAGAUAUCUUACAAUAAAAUUAAUUAAAAAAUACAAAUAAUGUCAAAUAAAAAUUACACAACAAUUUUUAACCAAUACCACCACCACUUUGCCACAGCAACGCAUGGCCGGGCACAGCUAGCCCAUUAUAAAUGAUCUUACAGAUGAUUAAAGCAUAGCAAAGGUCUACCACCAACUCAAUUUUAUAAACAUUAAACCAAUUGCUCUCGCCAUUCUUAUACAGGUUCUAUCAUACUUAUGGGUCAAAUUAAUUUCCAAAGGCUUGCUUAAACAGCCAGGUCUUAAGAGUUUUGCUGAAACUUAAGAGUGAGGGGGCUGUUCUGAUGUCACUGGGAAGGGAAUUCCACAGCUGCAGGGCCACCACCAAGAAGGCCCUGUCUCUAGUUCCCAUCAACUGUGUCUGCGAUGGCGGUGGAACCGGGAGCAGGGCUUCCCCAGAAGAUCUUAACAAUCGUGCUGAUAUUGUGGCUGAUAAUCCACAAUAUCUGCUUUGAACUGGAUUGCCUGAGUCCACACUGCCAGAUAAUCCAGUUCAGUGUGGAUUUUAUACAGCUGUGUGGAAGGGGCCUAUGCUUAUGUUUUAUUAGAUGGUUUUGUAUGUUCUAUGUGAUAUUGAAUGCUCGUCUAAACCGGCCUGGGACCCUUUCGGGAGAUAGAGCGGUAUAUAAAUAAAGUGUCGUUGUUGUUGUUGUAAGGUAAUUGUAGUUUUUGAUUGCUUGAGAGUUAUUAUUAAAAAUAGUUUCAUAAUGCACUUUAACCACAUUGAACUGCAAUAUAUGGCACUGUAGACUCAUAUAAUGCAGUCCUACUAUAUUAUGAGUCUGCAUUAUAUGGCAGUGUAAAUGAGGCCUAAUACUAUAUCCCAUACUAUACCAUACCAUAAACUCUGUAUUGACUUGAUAUUAAUAUUGAAAUGCAGUAAUUGAAACCAAAUUAAGAUAGAUACAGACCAUCCUAAUUUAAUGUUAUUUUACCGUAUUAUAAACACAGAUUUUUUAUUUAAAGUAUUCUUUUUUUCUUUUUUCUUUUUUUGCCAGUUGCUUGAGUUCUGGUUAACUGAGAGUCUAUUAUACUUGGAAUUAAAUUACUUUACUUCCACACAAAUAUGUUUGGAAUUAUAGUUAGGAAUGCACAAAGGACUUAAUCUGUUCUAAAGCUAAUAGAUCUUACACUUGACCAUAAUAACCCUGCCUCUGCUUGAGUCUCCCUAUACUAACUACACAAGUACAGUAUAAGAUACUAACAAAUUAGCAACACGACACUUAUUUUCCUCUAAGGUUCAAGAUGAAAAUAGAUUAAAGUGAUUGCCAGCACCUCAUAAAAUGGGAAUAACAUCCAAGAACUUAAAAGCUUCUGAAACCAUGGAGAGCCUAGUUGGCACACAUGACACAUUGGUGAAUGGAAUAGGGGAAGUUCAGGUUAUUCAUUAAAGCCAGUCAUAAGAAACACUGGGAGUUGGCUAAGGACUACAGUAGGCCUUCCACAUUUGCGGGUUUAACAUUUUCGGAUUUUAAUAUUCAUGUAUUUGGUACAUCCUCUUUAAAAAUCUGUAGGAAUCAACCCAAGUCUUUCUUCAUCACUCUGCACAUCUAUUUAUUUAUAUUUCAUUGAUGUGCAGUCUUUUUUCUUAUUCUUUGAAAUAAGUUUUAUUCAAACAUACAGCAGCAAGAAAUACAGACUUACAAAAAAAGGAAGGACAAAAACAUCAAGAGUGCAAAGAAAAAUGAAGAAAAAAACUACUACCAUAAAAACCAGAAACAGGAACAAUUUUUCAUUAUAGCUAAAACUAAACUAUUUGCAGCCUUUCAGAAGGAGCAGGACCCAAGGUGGCUCACAGAUGGAAUAAAUUAAAACCUGACAAUAGAAAUUUUAAAACAGCAAUUAAAAACAUAAUUUUAAAAUCACAUUAAAGUACGUAGUAUAAAAUUAUUUCAAAGGAAUACUAAAGUUUAAAAAAGAGCACAUGCCCAACAAGGAGCCUCAGUGGGAGCUAUUACCUAUUAAAAGCCUACUUAAACAAAAAUGUCUUUUCCAAAAAGGUGCCAAAAAGGUGAAAGGAGAGCAGGAAGGAGCCAGCCUUCUUCUCCUGCAGAAGGGAAUUCUUGAGGAUAGGACAGCAUCUGAGAAGUCUCUCCCUUCUGUCCAGAGCCUUAUCCAAUGUCCUGAAAUCCUCAGACAACGAAGGAGCUUAUGCUCUGCACACAAGUAAGGGACACUUAGGAGAGAGCAUGCCAUAGAUCAACUAGGACAUAGCUCCAAUAUGGAAAAUCCCCUAGAGCACCCGGAAAUAAUUUUAGGUCCCUUAGUGUUUAUUUCAGAAGAUAACCCAACCCUUUAGUGGUCCCAGCAAAUCUAAACUCUAUGAAAUAAUGAUUUGUUCACAACAUCAGAGUUCUUCUGAAUCCUUAUACCCACAGAUAACCUUUAUCCUGGCCAGCAAAAAUGAGAGGAAAGUGUGAUUGUACAUAUGUAUACCAGAUAUUGGGACAUAUCCAGAGUUGUCAUGGAAGCCAUUUCAUCCUGAGACAUUCUUGAUGAGGGGUGCUCAGCAUGAAUGCUAAAAUUGACCAGUACAAUUAAGUUUGGGAGAGAUUAACACCAUUUCCAAGAUUAUGUCCAUGAGCUUAGCCAGGGAGACAGUUAUUUAGCGAGAUGGGCAGUACACCAACAGAAUCCCAAUCCUAUCCAGCUGCUGAGUAUACAGAUUCAAAUUUUGUAAAUGGUUAGAAUACCUCAAGACAAGAUGGACCUACAAUAAAUUCCAUUUCCCAGUUUCCUGGACCUUGAACUUUCUGCUGUAUCCAGUAAACUAGCAGACACAAUUGUGACAAGCAGACAGCCCUCUUUUAUACAACUUGGGGUGCUUCCAGACAGUACCAAAAGUAGUUUUAUAACUAAGGCAAAAGAUCCUGGGACCUGGCAGCAGGUCCACACACAGACUUGUCAGUCCUGGGAAAUGGUCCCUCGCUAUCCUCACUAGAUAACACUAGUCACUGACCUAGCACUGAGGGUCAUCAUUUUGUGACCCAUGAGGUUCCAGUGCAGCAGCCAAUUUUUUUAAUUAAAUAAUAAGCCAGAAGGAGGAAUAGCCUCAAGAUACCUCUCUUAACUUUUUCCCCCAUUGGCAUUUUCUAGCUUCACCGCUGUAUCUCCCUCUGCCUAUUACAAUUGAAAUAACAAUGCCCAUCUUUUCUCUGAACACAAAUUUAGCCUCACAAAAAUAUACACAGAUCAGAUACACCUGGAUAACUCCACUAUAGUGUAGCUGGUUUCAUGAAAUAACACCCUUUGAAGAUUGAAAUACAGCAAGCCAUGGCACCUGACCCCCCCCACCCCCACCCCCCCAAAAAAAGAUUUAUAGAACAUCAAGAGACAUCAAGCAAAUACCCUGAUUUUUUUCCCUUUUAUUCUUUAAUAUUUUCUGUGGGUCCAGAAUUGUGCAAUGUCGAAGCCACUAGAGGUCCCGUAAUGGACGUAGCGGUAGCUGUACGCUACAAACUCUAUUAAAUCUAACCCUUUAAUAAAAUGUAUCAACUUGAUGAUUUAUGUGUAACAUAUAUUUUAUGUACUGUGUCAGUAUCUAAAAGUAUAAAAGUGCAUAAAAUGUAUCAAAUGCAUGUAUCAAAAUGUCUUUUGGAUGCAGCCAUCUUUCAUGCCUCCCAGGAAAAGGAGAUGAUGGCCGAGAUUCCUCCAGCUAUUUCCCAACCCAGAUAACUAUCAGAAUCUUUGUGUGUGUAGAUAGAUUAUCCUCUUUGUCAAGAAAAUAAGCUUAGGGUGUUUGUUCAUUCACCUUGCGGCUGAGAGUCUGCUGCCCACGGUAAAGGGGGCUCAGCUAAUAUAUAUACAGGCAGCCAAGCCCCUGAUUGUCUAGAACAGGGGUUCCCAAACUAAGGCCCGGGGGCCGGAUGCGGCCCUCCAAGGUCAUUUACCUGGCCCCCGCCCUCAGUUUUAUAAUAUAAUAUAUUGUAUAUACAUAUAAUAUUGAUAAUAAUAUUAUAAUGUAAUACAAUAUAACACUAAUAAUAAUAAUACCAUACAAUAGUAUUAAUUAUAUAUUACUAAUAAUAUUACUAAUAAUACUACAGUAUAGUGGUAUAGUUCAAUAUAGUAAUAUAUAAUGCUAAUAGUGUGCUAUGCUAACAAUAUAACAUAUUGUAUGUACAUAUAAUUUGUAAGCCACUCUGAGUCCCCUUUGGGGUGAGAAGGGUGUGACACAAAUGUAGUAAAUAAAUAUAGUAAAUAAAUAAAUAAAUUUUAGACUUAGGCUCGCCCAAAGUCUUGAAAGCACACAACAACAACAACAACAACAACAACAACUACCAUCCUAAUUAACUUGACUAUCUCAUUGGCCAUAAGCAGGCCCACACUUCCCAAUGAAAUCCUGAUAAAUGUAUGUGGGUAAAAUUGUUUUUAUUUUUAAAUAUUGUAUUGCUCUUUUAUUGUUAUUUCAUUGUUCUUAUUGUUGUUGUUGUUUUUGCACUACAAAUAAGACAUGUGUAGUGUACAUCAGAAUUUGUUUGUAUUUUUUUUUUCAAAUGAUAAUUUGGCCCCUCAACAGUUUGAAGGAUUGUGGACUGGCCCUCUGCAUAAAAAGUUUGGGGACCCCUGGUCUAGAAUCACCACCUUUGACUCUUGAGUUUUUUUGUUUCACGUGGAACUGGACAUUUGAGUUAAUCAAGGACUCAUCAGCAUACCCACAUCACAAUUUCCUCCUGGACUGCACCCUCCCAAGGGGUGUCCCUGCAAUGGAUUGGCUCUUCAAACUUCAACUACCAGCUGUCUUCUUUCCUGCCACGGGAAUCUCUUCUGACAUGCUGUGAUGUCAAGGGAACACUCAACCAAUCUGGACGUGAAUCCUAGCCUGCUCCUCUUCAGCCAGUCAGGGGAGGGAGCGGGAAGUCUGAAUAGCUGUCAGAACUGUAUAAAGUGUCAUGUAUUUAUUUGUGAGUUCAUGUUUGUACUUUUUAAAAGCAUAUUGACAGUACUUGCAUCCUUUUUGGCCAAAUCAUAAUAAACCUCUGUGGCUUUGCCUUCAA